rnacentral:rRNA from 1 species
CGUACACUCCUGCGGGAGGCAGCAGUGAGGAAUAUUGGACAAUGGGUGGAAGCCUGAUCCAGCCAUCCCGCGUGCAGGAAGACGGCCCUAUGGGUUGUAAACUGCUUUUAUCUGGGGAUAAACCUACUUACGUGUAAGUAGCUGAAGGUACCAGAAGAAUAAGCACCGGCUAACUCCGUGCCAGCAGCCGCGGUAAUACGGAGGGUGCAAGCGUUAUCCGGAUUUAUUGGGUUUAAAGGGUCCGUAGGCGGACUGAUAAGUCAGUGGUGAAAUCCGACAGCUUAACUGUCGAACUGCCAUUGAUACUGUUAGUCUUGAGUAAGGUUGAAGUGGCUGGAAUAAGUAGUGUAGCGGUGAAAUGCAUAGAUAUUACUUAGAACACCAAUUGCGAAGGCAGGUCACUAAGUCUUAACUGACGCUGAUGGACGAAAGCGUGGGGAGCGAACAGGAUUAGAAACCCCUGUAGUCC